UUCAAGGAGAUGAUUAUGUUUACAAGCACAUAUCUUAAUUUUUAAUGUGGAAACGUCUUUCACUGAAUCUCCUCUUGAU
rnacentral:snoRNA from 1 species